rnacentral:rRNA from 1 species
GAUGAACGCUGGCGGCGUGCCUAAUACAUGCAAGUCGAGCGAAUGGAUUAAGAGCUUGCUCUUAUGAAGUUAGCGGCGGACGGGUGAGUAACACGUGAGCAAUCUGCCCUUGACUCUGGGAUAACUGCGGGAAACUGUAGCUAAUACCGGAUACUUUCACCGGAAGGCAUCUUUUGGUGAUGAAAGAAUAUCGGUCAGGGAUGAGCUCGCGGCCUAUCAGCUUGUUGGUGAGGUAAAGGCUCACCAAGGCGACGACGGGUAACCGGCCUGAGAGGGUGACCGGUCACACUGGGACUGAGACACGGCCCAGACUCCUACGGGAGGCAGCAGUGGGGAAUAUUGCACAAUGGGGGCAACCCUGAUCCAGCAAUGCCGCGUGAGUGAAGAAGGCCUUCGGGUUGUAAAGCUCUUUUGUCAGGGAAGAAACAGCAGCUCUAACACAGUCUGCGAAUGACGGUACCUGAAGAAUAAGCACCGGCUAAC